GUCAAAACGACUCUUGGCAACGGAUAUCUCGGCUCUCGCAUCGAUGAAGAACGUAGCGAAAUGCGAUACUUGGUGUGAAUUGCAGAAUCCCGUGAACCAUCGAGUCUUUGAACGCAAGUUGCGCCCGAAGCCUUUAGGCCGAGGGCACGUCUGCCUGGGCGUCA
rnacentral:rRNA from 1 species